rnacentral:tRNA from 1 species
GCCAAAGUGGUGUAGUGGUUUGAGCCCUGGACUACGACUCUGGAGACCAGGGUUCAAAUCCUCACUCAGCCA